AGACUGGUUAAUGAUACCAAUGCAUCAUAAAACCUUCAGAAGGAAAGAAAAAUGUUUUGUGGAUCAUUUUGGUUUUGUGUAUGUGGCAGUUUUAAGUUAUUAGCUGUUAAAAUCAGU
rnacentral:pre_miRNA from 1 species